AUUUUGAUAACAAAAAUGAAAUCAAAACAAAAAAAGUCUAGGUAUAGAAUAUUUUUUCUUUUAAAAAUAUAAUUUAUGCAGAUUUGUAUUUUGAGAAGCAUUAAUUAUUGCUUUUAACCAGAAGAUAACUGCAUUUUUUUAGUAAGCCACAUAAUGAAAUUGUCAAGAGUAAUUCUUGUAAUGAAAAAGUGCUUUCUCAAAUUCAUCGUUUGGAUUCGGACCAAAAUUGUAGGUGCCUUCCAUUCCUGACAACAGUACUCGCACACAGGAAUGGUUGAGAGUUGUAAGUCACUAGACCCUGGUUCGCAACGGACUGUUUAAUUUAACAUGAACGAAAUCCGGAUCGAAAAAGUUGGAAUUCGCAAGUCCCAUUUGGAUUGAGGAACGAGCAUAAUCGCGCGUAAGUUCAUGUUCAUCAAGUCAUCAUCCAAUUCAACUCAAUUUCGUCUUCGUCGUCAUUACUAAGCAAUAAAGUUGACGAAGCUUGAAGCGCCAAAGAGAAAAGCAAGUUGUCCAGCAAACCUGCUUUAUCUAUCAGUGGAAAGAGUAUGCACAGAGGCCGGGCGCGGUAUCUCGGAAUCAAUCCACUAAAACUGUUAGAUGUAAAUCACGAAGUUCAAGGAAAUUAAAUCACGUCAAGUUAAAGGGACGUAAAUCACGAAGAUAAAGGAACUAGGGUGUCUGUGCUGUGGAAUAUACUGUGAUAUUAACAUGAGCCACGAAGAACUGAGUGGAUUCCGAAAAGCGUAUCGAUUAACCGAUCAAAGAAACCAGUAAAAUGUCUAUUGAAAAUGAACGGAUCUCUGUCAAAUACAAACUAACCCGAACGGCAACUAGUGAUAGAGGAAGAGGAACACUAGGAGCAAGUAACUGGAGAAACUAGAUAGCAAUCACGGAGACGAAGACGAUAAAGAAGAAGACGACGAGGAUUCAGGUGAAAUUGUUGAAUAAUCUAAGAAAAAUGUGGCGAGAUAUUGAAGUAAGCAAAGAGGAACGGGAUAAAAAUCGAUCUCGAAGGUGCUAAGAAGAAGGAAGAUGCUAACAAGUCCGAUUUUUGAAAAAGAUAUAUAUAUAUAUGAAGAACAGCUACACAACAAGAAGUUAGUUAAUUUAAGAUCCAAAACGGAUUCGAAUUGAUUGAAUUAAUCAUUUAAAGGUUGUUCCACAAUAUCCAAUAUCCAAGACGUCAGAAUUAUAAAGAACCAACCAGCCUUAUUCCACCUCCUUUACCGUAGGACCACGACUACCAAUCUACGAAGAUUUAGAUCCUUAUGGCCGUAGAGCUAGAUACAGAGAACUGCCAGAACAUAGGAUGCCUCAAUAUGAGGACGAGAGAGUAGUGCGUCCAACUCGUGAAGUGAAUGAUCCUUUCAUGCAUUCCAAAUUCCCUGGUGGUCGAACUGGCAGUGGUCUUAAAUUACCAAGUCCAGGCGUCCUCCAACCUACAGCCCAAACGAAAGAGAAGACCAUCCCAUCCAAAAAAUCUUUAACCAAUAACACGAAGAGAAAGCAUUGUGUUGCAAGUUGUUCCGGUUGAGGAUCUUCAAAAUCUAGUGGUUCUUGUUCGGAUACAUCAUGAUCCUCAUCAGUCAAGAGGAUAAAAUAGCUAAUAAACGUUAAGCAGUAAAAAGAUAUAUACGAGUAUAUGUAUAUAAAGCAUACAUAUCGAUUUGAAAUCAAUCCAUUUAAAAUGUCUCCUUUUCUACAUUUAUAAUAAGGGGCAACAUCUAGUGAUUAAGAGGAGAACACGCUUCGUUAAGCAUCGAGAAUAAUUGGCGCCUACAAGAACCAAGUAGUUUCUCGAACCGAUUUGAAGUGUAUAAAUAGGCGCCGGAAGCGAAGCAGUUCAAUAUUGAUUGUGAACUGUGUAGAGUAAAGAAUGUUUGAAAAGUAAUAAUUGAAAGUAAAGACUGCGUUUGCAAAGUAAUUGUUGAAAGUUUUGAAUAAAUAAG